rnacentral:ncRNA from 1 species
AAACAAAGCAUUGCGAUGGCCGCUGGUCGGUGUUGACGCAAUGUGAUUUCUGCCCAGUGCUCUGAAUGUCAACGUGAAGAGAUUCAUCAAAGCGCGGGUAAACGGCGGGAGUAACUAUGACUCUCUUGUGAGACACUUGGGACACAGAAGUCCAUGCCGGCUGUUACCGCAUGGACAUGUGCCAACACCCACGUGCACGUCGUGUGUCCUGCCAGCUCAGGGGGUUGUGCUUCCUGUGCUGCAACGGGUGCUCUGGCUUUCUUCGGGCAGGUGGGUUGCCAGCCCACUUGCCUCUGUAUCUCUCGGCAUGACUAAUAAAAGGAAAGACACAAUUCGU